rfam:Macrostomum lignano uti_cns_0011958, whole genome shotgun sequence.
CGGGUUGUAGCCUAGUGAUUAGAGCGUCUGACUCGUGAUUUGAAGGUCGGAGGUUCGACUCUCGACCCAA